UCCUGUGACGCAUGAGCUUUUGGCUCGGGUUAUACCUGAUGCUCACGUAUAAGACGAGCAAAAAGCUUGUUGGUCAGAGG
rnacentral:pre_miRNA from 12 species